rnacentral:lncRNA from 1 species
CGUGAACGUAACUGCUGUCCUGAACCCUAUGAUCCUGCCCAGCAAAUCAGUGAGUCUGCAAAGUCUGGUGUGCUCGGAGGUGACGGAAGACUCAUGCACAAGCCAUAUUGUCAAAAUCCAGCAGACACGGCUUGGACUACAGAAGCUGCAGUGCUGUGAGGCACCUCCAUAA